UACGGAGGGAGCUAGCGUUGUUCGGAAUUACUGGGCGUAAAGCGCACGUAGGCGGCUUUGUAAGUUAGAGGUGAAAGCCCGGGGCUCAACUCCGGAACUGCCUUUAAAACUGCAUCGCUUGAAUCCGGGAGAGGUGAGUGGAAUUCCGAGUGUAGAGGUGAAAUUCGUAGAUAUUCGGAAGAACACCAGUGGCGAAGGCGGCUCACUGGACCGGCAUUGACGCUGAGGUGCGAAAGCGUGGGGAGCAAACAGG
rnacentral:rRNA from 1 species